UGCGACCUACGGGGGGCAGCAGUGAGGAAUAUUGGUCAAUGGCCGGAAGGCUGAACCAGCCAAGCCGCGUGAAGGACGAAGGUGCCAAGCAUUGUAAACUUCUUUUGUCAAGGGACAAAAUCAGGCUCGAGAGCCUGACCGAGGGUACUUGAAGAAAAAGCAUCGGCUAACUCCGUGCCAGCAGCCGCGGUAAUACGGAGGAUGCGAGCGUUAUCCGGAUUUAUUGGGUUUAAAGGGUGCGUAGGCGGGCUGUUAAGUCAGCGGUCAAAUGUCGGGGCUCAACCCCGGCCUGCCGUUGAAACUGG
rnacentral:rRNA from 1 species